CCUACGGGUGGCAGCAGUGGGGAAUAUUGGACAAUGGGCGAAAGCCUGAUCCAGCCAUGCCGCGUGUGUGAAGAAGGCCUUCGGGUUGUAAAGCACUUUCAGUGGGGAAGAAAGCCUUGGGGCUAAUACCCUCGAGGAAGGACAUCACCCACAGAAGAAGCACUGGCUAACUCCGUGCCAGCAGCCGCGGUAAUACGGAGGGGGCGAGCGUUAAUCGGAAUUACUGGGCGUAAAGCGCGCGUAGGCGGUCUGAUAAGCCGGUUGUGAAAGCCCCGGGCUCAACCUGGGAACGGCAUCCGGAACUGUCAGGCUAGAGUGCAGGAGAGGAAGGUAGAAUUCCCGGUGUAGCGGUGAAAUGCGUAGAGAUCGGGAGGAAUACCAGUGGCGAAGGCGGCCUUCUGGACUGACACUGACGCUGAGGUGCGAAAGCGUGGGUAGCAAACAGGAUUAGAUACCCUGGUAGUC
rnacentral:rRNA from 1 species